GGGGUGUCCUCAGAGCAGGGUCCCCUAAAAUGGUCACUCUAUUAAUAACACACCAACAGGAAUUUGGGGUUAGUUUUCAUGGGAGACAAAACCCACUUGU